rnacentral:rRNA from 1 species
UCACCAAGUCAAUGAUCUUUAGGGGGCCUGAGAGGGUGAUCCCCCACACUGGUACUGAGACACGGACCAGACUCCUACGGGAGGCAGCAGUGAGGAAUAUUGGACAAUGGGUGGAAGCCUGAUCCAGCCAUCCCGCGUGAAGGACGACGGCCCUAUGGGUUGUAAACUUCUUUUGUACAGGGAUAAACCUACUCUCGUGAGGGUAGCUGAAGGUACUGUACGAAUAAGCACCGGCUAACUCCGUGCCAGCAGCCGCGGUAAUACGGAGGGUGCGAGCGUUAUCCGGAUUUAUUGGGUUUAAAGGGUCCGCAGGCGGGCUAGUAAGUCAGUGGUGAAAGCCUACAGCUUAACUGUAGAACUGCCGUUGAUACUGCUAGUCUUGAGUAUAGUUGAGGUAGCUGGAAUGAGUAGUGUAGCGGUGAAAUGCAUAGAUAUUACUCAGAACACCGAUUGCGAAGGCAGGUUACCAAGUUAUAACUGACGCUGAGGGACGAAAGCGUGGGGAGCGAACAGGAUUAGAUACCCUGGUAGUCCACGCCGUAAACGAUGCUAACUCGUUUUUGGGCUUUAGGGU